AAAAAGACAAUCUCUGGAUUUCCGUGUCCAACUUUUGGCUGUCUGUUUUAUAUGAAAUUUUUUUAUAAUUUGUAUUUUUAUUGUUGUUAGAUGAUAAAACAUGAUUAAUAUUUUAUGCGUGACUUGUCUUUUUAAUUUUUUUAUAACUUUUUCAAAUAAGACGGACGGUCAAACGUUGAACACAUAAAUCAGGGUUUGUCUUUUU
rfam:Oryza barthii chromosome 8, whole genome shotgun sequence.